UACGUAGGCAGCAAGCGUUGUUCGGAAUUACUGGGCGUAAAGCGUGUGUAGGCGGUUGGGUAAGUUUGGUGUGAAAUCUCCCGGCUUAACUGGGAGGGUGCGCCGAAGACUGCCUGGCUGGAGUGCGGAAGAGGAGAGUGGAAUUCCCGGUGUAGCGGUGAAAUGCGUAGAUAUCUGGAGGAACACCGGUGGCGAAGGCGGCAUCCUGGACCGGUAUUGACGCUGAGGCGCGAAAGCCAGGGGAGCAAACGGG
rnacentral:rRNA from 1 species